rnacentral:rRNA from 1 species
UACGUAGGGUGCAAGCGUUGUCCGGAAUUAUUGGGCGUAAAGAGCGUGUAGGCGGCCCGAUUAGUCCGCUGUGAAAGUCCAGGGCUCAACCCUGGAAUGCCGGUGGAUACUGUCGGGCUAGAGUCCGGAAGAGGCGAGUGGAAUUCCUGGUGUAGCGGUGGAAUGCGCAGAUAUCAGGAGGAACACCAAUAGCGAAGGCAGCUCGCUGGGACGGUACUGACGCUAAGGCGCGAAAGCGUGGGGAGCGAACAGG